CCUACGGGGGGCUGCAGUAAGGAAUAUUGGUCAAUGGAGGAAACUCUGAACCAGCCAUCCCGCGUGAAGGAUGAAGGGGCUCUGCCUUGUAAACUUCUUUUGUCUGGGGCGAAAAAGCUCGAUUUAUCGAGAACUGACGGUACCAGAAGAAUAAGCACCGGCUAGCUCCGUGCCAGCAGCCGCGGUAAUACGGAGGGUGCAAGAAUUAUCCGGAAUCACUGGGUCGAAAGCGUCUGUAUAAGGCUGAGUAGAAAGGCUGUAGCUUAACCAUGGAAUUGCCAUUGAUACUGCAGAGCUUGAGUGAGGUUGAGGUUGGCGGAAUGUGACAUGUAGCGGUGAAAUGCUUAGAUAUGUCAUGGAACACCGAUUGCGAAGGCAGCUGACUGGACCUAUAUUGACGCUGAGGCACGAAAGCGUGGGGAGCGAACAGGAUUAGAUACCCCGGUAGUC
rnacentral:rRNA from 1 species